rnacentral:rRNA from 1 species
AUACGUAGGGGGCGAGCGUUGUCCGGAAUGAUUGGGCGUAAAGGGCGCGUAGGCGGCGCGGUAAGUCUGGAGUGAAAGUCCUGCUUUCAAGGUGGGAAUUGCUUUGGAUACUGCCGCGCUUGAGUGCAGGAGAGGUUAUCGGAAUUCCCGGUGUAGCGGUGAAAUGCGUAGAGAUCGGGAGGAACACCAGUGGCGAAGGCGGGUAACUGGACUGCAACUGACGCUGAGGCGCGAAAGUGUGGGGAGCAAACAGGAUUAGAUACCCUGGUAGUCCACACCGUAAACGAUGAAUACUAGGUGUAGGGGGUAUCGACUCCCUCUGUGCCGCAGUUAACACAAUAAGUAUUCCGCCUGGGGAGUACGGCCGCAAGGUUGAAACUCAAAUGAAUUGGCGGGG